rnacentral:rRNA from 1 species
CUGGCUCAGGACGAACGCUGGCGGCGUGCCUAAUACAUGCAAGUCGUGCGGACCUUUUAAAAGCUUGCUUUUAAAAGGUUAGCGGCGGACGGGUGAGUAACACGUGGGCAACCUGCCUGUAAGACUGGGAUAACGCCGGGAAACCGGGGCUAAUACCGGAUCGUUUUUUCCUCCGCAUGGAGGGAAAAGGAAAGGCGGCUUCGGCUGCCACUUACAGAUGGGCCCGCGGCGCAUUAGCUAGUUGG